rnacentral:rRNA from 1 species
CGGUUGAUCCUGCCGGACCCCACUGCUAUCGGGGUAGGACUAAGCCAUGCGAGUCGAGCGUCUCCGAGCCGACGGCGGAGACGCGGCGGACGGCUCCGUAACACGUAGCCAACCUACCUUCGGGACGGGGAUAACCCCGGGAAACUGGGGCUAAUCCCCGAUAGGCAAGGAGGCCUGGAAUGGUCCCUUGCCCAAAGGGCGUUGGAACCGCGCUUCCAACGCCGCCCGAAGAUGGGGCUGCGGCCGAUCAGGUAGUUGGUGGGGUAACGGCCCACCAAGCCUAUAACCGGUACGGGCCGUGAGAGCGGGAGCCCGGAGAUGGGCACUGAGACAAGGGCCCAGGCCCUACGGGGCGCAGCAGGCGCGAAACCUCCGCAAUGCGCGAAAGCGCGACGGGGUUACCCCGAGUGCCGUCCGCUGAGGACGGCUUUUCCCCGGUGUAAUGAGCCGGGGGAAUAAGGGGAGGGCAAGCCUGGUGUCAGCCGCCGCGGUAAUACCAGCUCCCCGAGUGGUGGGGACGAUUAUUGGGCCUAAAGCGUCCGUAGCCGGCCCGGCAAGUCUCCCGUUAAAUCCAACGAUCUAAUCGUUGGGCUGCGGGAGAUACUGUCGGGCUAGGGGGCGGGAGAGGCCGGCGGUGUUCCCGGGGUAGGGGUGAAAU